rnacentral:rRNA from 1 species
GAUGAACGCUGGCGGCGUGCCUAAUACAUGCAAGUCGAGCGAACAGACGAGGAGCUUGCUCCUCUGACGUUAGCGGCGGACGGGUGAGUAACACGUGGAUAACCUACCUAUAAGACUGGGAUAACUUCGGGAAACCGGAGCUAAUACCGGAUAAUAUAUUGAACCGCAUGGUUCAAUAGUGAAAGACGGUUUUGCUGUCACUUAUAGAUGGAUCCGCGCCGCAUUAGCUAGUUGGUAAGGUAACGGCUUACCAAGGCAACGAUGCGUAGCCGACCUGAGAGGCUGAUCGGCCACACUGGAACUGAGACACGGUCCAGACUCCUACGGGAGGCAGCAGUAGGGAAUCUUCCGCAAUGGGCUAAAGCCUGAUGGAGCAACGCCGCGUGAGUGAUGAAGGUCUUCGGAUCGUAAAACUCUGUUAUUAGGGAAGAACAAAUGUGUAAGUAACUAUGCACGUCUUGACGGUACCUAAUCAGAAAGCCACGGCUAACUACGUG